AUUGAACGCUGGCGGCAGGCCUAACACAUGCAAGUCGAGCGGAUGAAGGGAGCUUUCUCCUGGAUUCAGCGGCGGACGGGUGAGUAAUGCCUAGGAAUCUGCCUGGCAGUGGGGGAUAACGUCCGGAAACGGGCGCUAAUACCGCAUACGUCCUGAGGGUGAAAGUGGGGGAUCUUCGGACAUCACGCUAUCAGAUGAGCCUAGGUCGGAUUAGCUAGUUGGUGGGGUAAAGGCCUACCGAGGCGACGAUCCGUAACUGGUCUGAGAGGAUGAUCAGUCACACUGGAACUGAGACACGGUCCAGACUCCUACGGGAGGCAGCAGUGGGGAAUAUUGGACAAUGGGCGAAAGCCUGAUCCAGCCAUGCCGCGUGUGUGAAGAAGGUCUUCGGAUUGUAAAGCACUUUAAGUUGGGAGGAAGGGCAGUAAGUUAAUACCUUGCUGUUUUGACGUUACCAACAGAAUAAGCACCGGCUAACCUCGUG
rnacentral:rRNA from 1 species